CUGGCUACCAGUGGGGAAGGAUCUUGUCUGGAGAUCUUUCCUUCUGGUGUUUUGUGGGUGAGCCCAGCAUAAGGAAAGAAAGUGCUGAAACAGCUGUCUAUCUUUCUUCAAUCUACAUUGUUUCUCAGUAACACCUGGAUUCACCUCAUUCAUUUUGGUCAUUUAACUGGAACACUAAAUGCACAGUACAGGACCAGGUAGUGUAGAGAAUCAUAAUUUCACACCUGAAAAAUACCACACCCAAUCAUUGCCUUCCUCAGCUGAAUAUCACUGAGGCAAAGAAUUGUUCAUCCUGGUUGUGACCCUGGGAGGUCUCAUGACCAACCUUCUGCUGAAAUCAGGAUCAACGCUAAAGUCAUAUCAAGUUGAUCAAUUUAAACUAUUUCAUCAUGGGAUCAGAA